AUUGAACGCUGGCGGCAUGCCUUACACAUGCAAGUCGAACGGUAACGGGCCUUCGGGUGCCGACGAGUGGCGAACGGGUGAGUAAUGCAUCGGAACGUACCUUUCAGUGGGGGGAUAACGUAGCGAAAGUUACGCUAAUACCGCAUAUUCUGUGAGCAGGAAAGCAGGGGAUCGCAAGACCUUGCGCUGAUUGAGCGGCCGAUGUCAGAUUAGCUAGUUGGUGAGGUAAAAGGCCUCACCAAGGCGACGAUCUGUAGCGGGUCUGAGAGGAUGACUCCGCCACACUGGAACUGAGACACGGUCCAGACUCCGUACGGGAGGCAGCAGGUGGG
rnacentral:rRNA from 1 species